UAUUGUGACAAUGUGUUUCAGUCUGAAGUUUGAGCAGAGCCUGGGUAAGAGGGUAGGAGUGGUGAAUGGGAGAAGAACAUUCUAGAUGGAAGGAACUGUGAGUGGCCAGGCCCUGAGGAUGGAAGGCCAUUGGCAAGUUCCCAGAGGCCCAAAUGCCUGGGGAGUGGUGAGCAAAAAGGAAGGUGGCAGAGACAAAGCUGGAACAGCAGAUGGGCAGACCUUUGUUACCCUCAUGCCCAGCUCACCUCACUAUGGCUGUCUGGAACACACGCCCCUGUGAACUGUCAAUGAGACCCCCCCUGGCCUUGUCAUCUUUGAGUUGAGGCAGAUAUUUGAACAAAAAGCUUCACAGAUACCUUGGAUAUGCCUGUCCUCUCCUGCUUGUGUUUGGGCUAACCAAUCUGCUAACGGGAAGAAAUCAGAAAUAUUGCUCAGCUUUUGUUGUGUAUAUUUGAAGGCUUUUCUAGGAUGUUCAAGAGACAGAAAUGCCAUCCCAGAAAGUGGACCCUGGGAAAGCUGUGAGAAAAGGUGGGAUUUAGGUUGAGAAAACUUUAAGAGUUCAGAACGUGAAGCCCCAGUUGCUUAAACCUAUAAUGUUUGCUGCCUCUAUUUAAAUGGAUAAUUAGAUCAAGGGACAAAGUCAAAGAUUCCUGCUAUGUUCUAGUUCAAUUCUCUGCUGUUUGAUAUUAGUUAAAAGUCUUUUAGCUGCAAGGGAAUAAAACCCAACUGCUGCUGAUUUAAGUAAAAACAAAGUAAAAGCAGGGUGUGGUG